GCCGAUGUAGCUCAGUUGGCUAGAGCAGCUGAUUUGUAAUCAGCAGGCCGUGGGUUCGAGUCCCUCCAUCGGCU
rnacentral:tRNA from 2 species